UUUUCAUUUGUUGGAACACCAGGUGUCGUAUGUGACCAGAACCUGAAAAAGUUUCUCUUGCAUCAGAGUGGGGUUAAUGGGGAGUUAUGAGGGAAGGUACCCCCAACCGCUGGGUCUCGCAAAAUUGAAUUGGGUAGUUCAAACAACCCCCAUUUUCGCAUUUAUGGCAACAAUCCAUGGCCUAUAUGGCAAAGAUAGAAUACAAAAAUUAUUCUCAUCAAGUGGGCGUGAAGGAGGUUCUGAGACGAUAUUGGAACACGUUGAUUCUGUGUUCAUUCUUCUGUUGUGGUAUCUGGGAGGGGAGGGAUCAAUCAGAGGUAGAUGAGCUGGUGGUUCACCUGGACGAGUCUCUGAAGAUUUCUAGCAUGGAGCAGGGAGUGAAGCUAGUAGGUGCGGUGCUGUCAAAGAAACCCCUUAACAAAUGGGGAGUUAAAAAUAAACUGGGUUCAAGGUACCACAUGUUUAUGGAAAACAACUCAAAAACCUUCAAUCUAAUUUGACUCCACCCAACGCAGUCACUAUCUCCCCAUUAAAAUUCCAGUUGUCCUUCUGCUUUGGCAAUGCGCCGGUUUCCGAUAAGUAGCUAGGGCCUUUGGCCAGAUCAAAAAUGAUAAAGCAAUCAAACCAUUUAUCGUUCUGCGUGCAUGAAUUUUUCACCGCGAAGACUGUCCCCAACCAUUCACAUUUGACAGAGAUUUAAUUGCCUUCAAAAGAUUGGAUAAGUAAUAAUUAACUAGUGCAAGAGAGAUUCUGUAGUUAUUGAUUGCUUUAUUUUGGGCCCUAGCUCCUCAUCGGAAACACGCGCAUUGCCAGAGAAGAAAGACAAAUUGGAUUAAUGUAGAGAUGUGACUAGUUUGGUAAUCAAUUAAUAAGGAGAGAUGAGAAUUAAGCCUCAUCGGCCUAUAUAUGUAAAACAUUCAGAUGACUCUUAAGUUUUGAUCACUAAGACUCAAAUAUUUCCUCCUAAAACAAAUCGACCAUGUCUUCUCUCCCUGUAUUACUCAACCAGUUCGUCCAACAUCAAGCAAUCAUGCUGAAAUUUGUCAUUUCACUGUUGAGAAAAAUUAUCCCUGCAGCUGAAGCCAAUGUCCCUUCAGCUGGGAUUAUGGCAAAGCUGCAAUCUGGCAACAAUGUCUUAAGAAACAACAGCACAAAUUGGAGAAGCACCUGGAAGCUAGGGUGAAAAUUUUGGAAGCCAUAAACGAUCCACGUGAUCAAGAUAAGGCCUACAUUACUUCUGUUCAACAUACAAAGCUCCUAGAUCGACUCUGAAGGGGUGAUAAGUUGACAGACAAAGGAAAUAGUCUGUUGAACAGCGAGAGGAAGCCGGAAACAAAGCUAUAAGCCAAGUUAAAGAGAGAGGAAGAGAACAAGCUGCCUAAGGUGCCACUGUGUCACGGAAACACUGUUGACAUCCUCAAAGAUUUGUCCAAAUGCGCAAGAAGUGUCGUCCAUCAAUUCUGCGAGAAGAAAGGCCUUGAUGUCGAUGAGUUCAAGAUCUUACCCGCCGGUGUGAGGAUCGACUGAUAUUAAAAGCUCUGUUAGCUCUCUAUUAUCUAUCUAUGGGUUGUCAGUAGAUAAUGGGGAGCCACUAAAGCUUUCAAUAUCAGUCGAUCCUUACACCGAUGGUUAUGACCUUAACCUUCUCGACAUGAAGGCCUUUUUCGUCGCAGAAUUGAUGGAUGCCACUUCUUGCACAUUUGGACAAAUCCUUGAGGAUGACAAUGGUGUUUUCUAUGCCACAGUGGCACCUUAAGCAGUUUGCUCUCUUCCUCUUUCCUCAUCUUGGCUUCUAGCUUCGUUUUCGGCUUAGCCUCGCUGUUCAGCAGACCCUUUCCUUUGUCUGUCAACUUAUCACCCAUUCGGAGUCGAUCCAGGAGCUUUGCAUGUUGAACAGAAGCGAUAUAAGCCUUGUCCUGAUCACGUAGGUUGUUUAUGGCUUCCAAAAUUUUGACCCUGACUUCCAGGUGUUUCUCUAAUUUGCAGCUGUCGUUUCUCAGGACAUUGUUGCCAAAUUGCAGCUUUGCCAUAAUCCCAGCUAAGGGGACAUUGGCUUCAGCUGUAGGGACAAUUUUUCUCAUCAGUGAAAUGACAAAUUUAAGCAUGAUUGCAUGCUGUUGGAAGGAACUGGUUGAGUAAUACAGGGAGAUAAGGCACGGUCGAUUUGUUUUGGGAAGAAAUGUUUGAGUCUUAGGGAUCAAGACUUAAAGAAUCAUCUGAAUGUUUUACAUACAUAGGCCGAUGAGGCUUAGUUCUCAUCUCUCUUUAUUAAUCGAUUACCAAACUGGUCACAUCUCCACAUUAAUCUAAUUUGUCCUUCUUCUCUGGCAAUGCGCCAGUUUCGAUGAGGAGCUAGGGCCCAAAAUAAAGCAACCAAUAACUGCAGAAUCUCCCUUACACUAGUUAAUCAUUACUUACCCAAUCUUUUGAAGGCAAUUAAAUCUCUGUCAAAUGUAAAUGGUUGGGGACAGUCUUUUCUCUAGAAAAGUCUGCAAGAAAAAUUCACGCACGCAGAACGAUAAAUGGUUUGAUUGCUUUAUCAUUUAAGAUAUAGCUAGAGGCCCUAGCUACUUAUCGAAAACCGACGCAUUGCCAGAGCAGAAUGACAACUGGGAUUUUAAUGGGAAGAUAGUGACUGCGUUGGGUGGAGUCAAAUUAGAUUGAAGGGUUUUUGAACUUGAGAGAUCUGGCUUCGAAUCCCUUACAUCAGAGUGGGGUUAAUGGGGAGUUAUGAGGGAAGGUAGCCCCAACUGCUGGAUCUGGCAAAAUUGAAUUGGGCAGUUCAAACAACCCCAUUUUCGCAUUUAUGGUAACAAUCCAUGGCCUAUAUGCCAAAGAUAUUGUAGAUCUUGUACUUUAUUUUAUGGGGUUUUUAGAUCUAGGUCCAAAAAUAUAAAGUGUUUUUAGAAAUGAAUCUAGUUAUCUAAUUAUAUGUUUUUAA